rnacentral:rRNA from 1 species
UACAGAGGGUGCAAGCGUUGCUCGGAAUUAUUGGGCGUAAAGGGUAGGUAGGUGGUCUUAUUUGUCUAGGGUGAAAGCCUUGAGCUUAACUCAAGAAGUGCCCUAGAAACGGUAAGACUAGAGUCCUGGAGAGGGUCGUGGAAUUCCCGGUGUAGCGGUGAAAUGCGUAGAGAUCGGGAGGAACACCAGCGGCGAAGGCGGCGACCUGGACAGGUACUGACACUCAACUACGAAAGCGUGGGGAGCAAACAGGAUUAGAUACCCCAGUAGU